CCGCCAGCACUGCCCAAGCUGCGAGCAUCAGGCACAGGUUUCCUUAGAGACCACAUCGCUGCCGCAGAGGCCCACCGGGAGCAUCCUGCUGACUUACCCUGCUCGGGCGGGCUGCUGUCCUUUAAGCAAUACAAAACGCAGCCAUUUCCUCAAUCCCUAACUUCAUCACUGAUCUAGAUGUUUCUCAACCUAACAGCUUAGCAGAUACGGUUUCAUGAAGGACCGGCUAACUAGCCAUAUUGAACUGUGGAGUGAGCCUGUGGGUGAGCUCCCCUCCCGCUAGCCUCCUCCUCACUCUCCCCUCUGUGUGCCCUGCUGCAUCCUGCCUAGAUGCAAGAGCAGCUCACCCGCCGCCGGAGGCUUCCACCUUGGCUCCCAGGGGGACAUCCUGCAAAAUGAAUCAGCAGCCAUCCUGAGCAGGCUGAUUAAAAUGAAAAUGGCAAGGCACAUGUCUGGGCGGAACUGGAGCUCGGCUUUGUUGCCUGUCUGACAAGCACGCUCAAUAUAGCUCUUGCUAAUAAUGGC
rnacentral:lncRNA from 1 species